GAGUUUGAUCGUGGCUCAGGAUGAACGCUGGCGGCGUGCCUAAUACAUGCAAGUCGAGCGGACGGACGAGAAGCUUGCUUCUCUGAUGUUAGCGGCGGACGGGUGAGUAACACGUGGAUAACCUACCUAUAAGACUGGGAUAACUUCGGGGAAACCGGAGCUAAUACCGGAUAAUAUUUUGAACCGCAUGGUUCAAAAGUGAAAGACGGUCUUGCUGUCACUUAUAGAUGGAUCCGCGCUGCAUUAGCUAGUUGGUAAGGUAACGGCUUACCAAGGCAACGAUGCAUAGCCGACCUGAGAGGGUGAUCGGCCACACCGGAACUGAGACACGGUCCAGACUCCUACGGGAGGCAGCAGUAGGGAAUCUUCCGCAAUGGGCGAAAGCCUGACGGAGCAACGCCGCGUGAGUGAUGAAGGUCUUCGGAUCGUGAAACUCUGUUAUUAGGGAAGAACAUAUGUGUAAGUAACUGUGCACAUCUUGACGGUACCUAAUCAGAAAGCCACGGCUAACUACGUCG
rnacentral:rRNA from 1 species